UGCGAAGCGAAGCAGCGAUGUGAAGCAAAUCGCACCAAAGCCGGUCCCAGUUCGGAUAAGAGGCUGAAACUCGCCUCUUUGAAGUCGGAAUCGCUAGUAAUCGCAGAUCAGCAUGUUGCGGUGAAUACGUUUCCUGGUCUUGUACACACCGCCCGUCAAACCAUGAGAGUCGCCAACACCCGAAGUCCGCUUUGCGGCCUAAGGUGGGGGAGAUGAUUGGGGUUAAGUCGUAACAAGGUACC
rnacentral:rRNA from 1 species